UACGAAGGGGGCUAGCGUUGCUCGGAAUUACUGGCGUAAAGCGCACGUAGGCGGCUUUCUCAGUCGGAGUUGAAAUCCUGGAGCUCAACUCCAGAACUGCCUUCGAUACUGGAGAGCUCGAGUCCGGGAGAGGUGAGUGGAACUGCGAGUGUAGAGGUGAAAUUCGUAGAUAUUCGCAAGAACACCAGUGGCGAAGGCGGCUCACUGGCCCGGUACUGACGCUGAGGUGCGAAAGCGUGGGGAGCAAACAGG
rnacentral:rRNA from 1 species